GAAGACCUCUUUUGAAAAUCUCUUGAAGUCUUUGCAGAGUUCUCUAAACAUGACCAGGAGGCCAAUCAUGAGGAGGAGUGAGAUGUUUUGAGGGAAAAUAGUCAAUAUACGUAAACUAAGUUCAAUACCAAUUCUUUGACUUGAAUAACGUUUUAUCAUCCCAGCAUUUUUGUCAGGUUAUCGCCGACCAGACUUCAUCUGGAAGCUCACGAAUGGCUUUGCAGCAUUGGUAAAGUCAGGUUCUCGUGGACUAACAACACUGUUUCUUGAUGUGAUUGUCCUCUGAAACUUCUCCUGAUUAUGCCUCGAGUUUUGAGUUGCCUUCUUUCUCUCACAUGAUCUCAUUCUUUUCAGGAUCAAGAUAUUUUAACUUCUGUGUUUAGCGCCUUUAAUAGAUUGAGCUAAGAAGUCUAAGCAAUCUUCAGGGCUAAGAAACAAGCUGCACUUGCCAGAGUUGGAUGUUCACACCUUGGUGAUGGCUGAUAUUAAACAGAAUUCUUAAUGAACAAAUCGGCCUUGAAAAGGGAACAUGGUGAAGCAAGACAAAAGAAUUACAAACUUUGACUGAAACUUUCUCCUACCAGGAAUACAGGGACCGCUCACCAGGUUGUGAUGAGAAGGAUCAUCUGAAAUGCUCCAUUGCUCUCAGAAGUUGAGGUAACUUCAUUGGGCCCAAACUGAUAAACUAGGAAUGGCUCAGAAAAUAGCCCCUUAGAAGAACUGUAUGAAGCUUGGAUCCAUUUUUCUGAGAAAAAAGAAAAAUCCCUCCAAUGAUUUGGUGAGGAGUUGAAGACAAAUAUCUUUAUUAUUUAUAAGUAUUCUGGCCAAGACAAUGAGUGUUGGAGUGGGAGGAUGAGGGAAUUUUAUGAUGAACGACAGCACAGCAAGAUGGACAGUAAGGCUCUGUCAUUGCCAUACCAGAUGUACAGAAGUGGCAUUUCAACUAAGGACACUGAAUAUGAAACAGACCUUGGAAAAGAGAGGAUGGAGUUAACUCUGAGAACAGAAAUCACCUACCUCUCUCCUCCCUAAACACACAGCUUACUGUCUAUAAUAAUAUACCCUUACUGGUCCAUUGUCCUCAUUAACAUAACUACAAUUCCAGGAGACUCUUGCCCAGGCAAAUUGCUUUAUUGUUCAUUACAGAGAGUUUUUGAAACAAAGAACCAUCAAUGCUUCAACAGAAAGCAUCAACAGUUUAUACCCCAAGAUCUUAGAACUCCUCACUUCCAAAUCCUCACUAUGCUAAUCCUAAACUAUUAUGUCAUGAUUUUUACCUAAACAAGACCCUGCAUGGAAAGAUCCUCUUUAUACAAUCUUUCAUUUUUUUGUCCUGGCUUUAAAAUGCAAAGCCCAUAUCCUUGGAAUUCCCUCUGUCUUGGGCAAAGUGUGACAGUUGGCCACCCUACUCCAAAAUCUCAUAAUUUUCCCACCUUGCCCCUCUAGAGACUAUCAAUCUCUGUUGAGGUGGUUCUCUCUUUCCAGGGUGAGCAAUAAACUCCUUGCCAGAGCUUUCCAUUGGGGGAGGAGGGUUUGAACUACUGCCAGAGACAAACAGAUGUAAACUAGAUGCAGGAGUUUGGAAAUUGAGCAGGGUUUGCAGUCUGGAAAAUUGCUCCACAAGAGACUGUCGUUGAACGAGUAGUCCUGAGUGAGUGGUCUAAGAGAACGUCAGAGUGAAAGAAAAUGCAGCCCACCUGGGUCAGCUGAAAAGGUAGAGAAUAAAAGGGAAAUGAAAUGCAGCUGCUAGUAACAGUUGAUUAAAUGAGGCUGGCAACUUACAUGGAGGCUGGAAGAGGAGAAAUGUGGGAGAGGCAGCAAGGAGAGAGAAGGAAACAUGAAGGAGGAGAAGAUUUCUAGAAGGAAAUGUAAGAGCUACAAAGGAGAAAGAUGAAUGAGAGACCCCACAAGAAAACAGCAGGGAAAAGAAGCUGCUUUCUGAGUUGAUGGUUGUUUCUAGUUUGGGGCUAUUAUGAAGAAAGCUGCUAUGAAGAACAUCCAUGUACAAAUCAUUUUAUGGACACACAUACUCAUUGCUCUUGGGUAAAUAUCUAGGAAUAUGAUUUAUGGAUCAUAG
rnacentral:lncRNA from 1 species